rnacentral:rRNA from 1 species
GACGAACGCUGGCGGCGUGCCUAAUACAUGCAAGUUGAGCGCUGAAGGUUGGUACUUGUACCUACUGGAUGAGCAGCGAACGGGUGAGUAACGCGUGGGGAAUCUGCCUUUGAGCGGGGGACAACAUUUGGAAACGAAUGCUAAUACCGCAUAAUAACUUUAAACACAAGUUUUAAGUUUGAAAGAUGCAAUUGCAUCACUCAAUGAUGAUCCCCCGUUGUAUUAGCUAGUUUGUGAGGUAAAGGCUCACCAAAGCGAAGAUACAUAACCGAGCCGAGAGGGGGAGAGGCCACAUUGGGACAGAGACACGGGGCAAACUCCCACAGGAGGGAGAAGAAGGGAAAAUUCGGCAAUGGAGGAAAGUGUGAGCGAGAAACGCGGCGUGAGAGAAGAAGGUGUUCGGAUCGUAAAAAUCUGUUGGUAGAGAAGAAAGUAGGUGAGAGUGGAAAGAUCAUCAAGUGAAGGUAACUAACCAGAAAGGGACGGCUAACUACGUG